rnacentral:rRNA from 2 species
GCUAUACAUGCAGUCGAACGAACUCCUGGUAUUGAUUGGUGCUUGCAUCAUGAUUUACAUUUGAGUGAGUGGCGAACUGGUGAGUAACACGUGGGAAACCUGCCCAGAAGCGGGGGAUAACACCUGGAAACAGAUGCUAAUACCGCAUAACAACUUGGACCGCAUGGUCCGAGCUUGAAAGAUGGCUUCGGCUAUCACUUUUGGAUGGUCCCGCGGCGUAUUAGCUAGAUGGUGGGGUAACGGCUCACCAUGGCAAUGAUACGUAGCCGACCUGAGAGGGUAAUCGGCCACAUUGGGACUGAGACACGGCCCAAACUCCUACGGGAGGCAGCAGUAGGGAAUCUUCCACAAUGGACGAAAGUCUGAUGGAGCAACGCCGCGUGAGUGAAGAAGGGUUUCGGCUCGUAAAACUCUGUUGUUAAAGAAGAACAUAUCUAAGAGUAACUGUUCAGGUAUUGACGGUAUUUAACCAGAAAGCCACGGCUAACUACGUGCCAGCAGCCGCGGUAAUACGAG